UGGGGAAUUUUGGACAAUGGGCGAAAGCCUGAUCCAGCAAUGCCGCGUGUGUGAAGAAGGCCUUCGGGUUGUAAAGCACUUUUGUCCGGAAAGAAAUCCUUGGCUCUAAUACAGUCGGGGGAUGACGGUACCGGAAGAAUAAGCACCGGCUAACUACGUGCCAGCAGCCGCGGUAAUACGUAGGGUGCAAGCGUUAAUCGGAAUUACUGGGCGUAAAGCGUGCGCAGGCGGUUUGCUAAGACCGAUGUGAAAUCCCCGGGCUCAACCUGGGAACUGCAUUGGUGACUGGCAGGCUAGAGUAUGGCAGAGGGGGGUAGAAUUCCACGUGUAGCAGUGAAAUGCGUAGAGAUGUGGAGGAAUACCGAUGGCGAAGGCAGCCCCCUGGGCCAAUACUGACGCUCAUGCACGAAAGCGUGGGGAGCAAACAGGAUUAGAUACCCUGGUAGUCCCACGCCCUAAACCGAUGUCAACUAGUUGUUGGGGAUUCAUUUCCUUAGUAACGUAGCUAACGCGUGAAGUUGACCGCCUGGGGAGUACGGUCGCAAGAUUAAAACUC
rnacentral:rRNA from 1 species